GUUGCUUCUUAUGGUGAACUCUCUCGUAGCAAUACAAAACAAUGAGGGAUGUUCAAGUUUCCGAAGCAUAAAUCAAAGUGUCAGUAUUAAACAGUUUGGUGCACAUUC
rnacentral:ncRNA from 1 species